rnacentral:rRNA from 1 species
UUGACCUCGAAUCAGGUAGGGAUACCCGCUGAACUUAAGCAUAUCAAUAAGCGGANNNNNNNNNNNNNNNNNNNNNNNNNNNAGUAACGGCGAGUGAAGCGGUAACAGCUCAAAUUUGAAAUCUGGCUCCUUCGGAGUCCGAGUUGUAAUUUGUAGAAGAUGCUUUGGGUUGCAGGUUCGGUCUAAGUUCCUUGGAACAGGACGUCGUAGAGGGUGAGAAUCCCGUAUGCGGCCGUGACUUGUGCCCGUGUAAAGCUCUUUCGACGAGUCGAGUUGUUUGGGAAUGCAGCUCAAAAUGGGUGGUAAAUUUCAUCUAAAGCUAAAUAUAGGCCAGAGACCGAUAGCGCACAAGUAGAGUGAUCGAAAGAUGAAAAGCACUUUGGAAAGAGAGUUAAACAGUACGUGAAAUUGUUGAAAGGGAAGCGCUUGCAACCAGACUUGGGCGUCGUGGAUCAUCCAAGGUUCUCCUUGGUGCACUCGACGACGCACAGGCCAGCAUCGGUUCGGAUGGCUGGAAAAAGGUCCUAGAAAUGUAGCUCCUCGCGGGGAGUGUUAUAGUCUAGGGCGCAAUGCAGCCCAACCGGACCGAGGACCGCGCUUCGGCUAGGAUGCUGGCGUAAUGGUUGUAAGCGACCCGUCUUGAAACACGGACCAAGGAGUCUAACAUCUAUGCGAGUGUUUGGGCGUUAAACCCAUACGCGGAAUGAAAGUGAACGUAGGUGAGAACCCGUAAGGGGGCAUCAUCGACCGAUCCUGAAGUCU